rnacentral:misc_RNA from 1 species
AAGGUUGGAUAUCACUUUCCUGUUUUCGUGUUAAUUUCCCAUUCUCUUUCACUUGAAAGAUUAGGAGAAAUUACAUGAAAAUAGAAUGAAUCCGGACAUUGCCCCGCAGAUAUUUUUGUGUGAAACAAAACUUGUUUUCUUUGGUUUAUUCGUUUUAAAUAUAUUUUCCAAUAAAUAUUUUGAAACAACUUUUGACAACGGAUCUCUUGGCUCUCACAAUGAUGAAGAACGCAGC